rnacentral:lncRNA from 1 species
AAAGUUGACCAGUGUUGACUUCUUAGGGGUAGUCAACCUUAGUGUUAAAAAGUGUUAAUUAGAGACAUAUGAUGUUAUAGGAGGAUUAUAGCUCGGAGGAUCGAGCACGAGGGAUUUCCAGGUUUCGUGACUCAUCGAGAUACGCGAGGUGAGUUUUCUCACUAUACUUUACCUUGAGUAGGUAAUCAUAGCUAUGUGUCAGAGUAUGUGUAUGCUAUGUGUUGUAUUGCAUGAUGUCUAUGUGAUUUAUGCUCUGCAUGUUUAUAGAGUUGGAACCGGAAGGUUCCCAGAGUUAGAACCUGAGGGUUCACAGAGCUUGCGUGCACGGACCCAUAGAGUUAUAGCCUCGAGUGGCUAAUAUAUGUGUUAUGUUUGUGGUAUUUUGGGGAACUCACUAAGCUUUGUGCUUACAGUGUUAGUGUUGUUGUUUCAGGUACUAGCGAUGACCGUGGGAAGGCGCCGGCUUGAUCUGUACACACGCUUGGGAUUUUCGAUAUACAUUUGAUCUUGGGAUUUUGUAUAAUGUGAAUUGGGAUUUAAACUUAAUGUUUUGAUGAAAAGUUAAUGAGAAAUGUUUUAUAAAUUGUGAAAAAUUAUUUUGAAAUUCACGGUGUUACAGAUAAUAGGGGUCGAAAACGACUUUUCAACAAAAUAUUAUUUAGAAUAAAUAAUCUUAACCAAGUUGUAGAAUAUGUCUCAAGGGAUCCGCACAUAUAAAGAGCGCCGAAAUCCGAGUUAUAACGAAGAAGUUAUGACCCGUCGAAGUUUAGUGACGGAACCAGCACGACACCGCGAAGACGUAAAUAGUGAAUUUAUGAUAGAGCAUAUUUUAGCCUUAGUAAUUUAAAUGAAAGUCGUAGAAUAUGUUAACCUGAGAGUGUCCAUAAAAAGAACGCCCAAAUCUGACUUUUUAUGAGGAAGUUAUGAUUUUUCGAAGUUUCGGCUUAGCGAUGUACAACUCGAAGUUCGAGUAUUAGAUUGAGAUGAUUUUUCGAAGUUUCGGCUUAGCGAUGUACAACUCGAAGGUCGAGUAUUAGAUUGAGCGGUUUUUAGCCGACACAGCCUAAACGAGAAUCGUAGAUCUCGUUAUUAGUAGCGUAACGAUAAAAAGAGAGACGAAAAUGGACAUCGGAUGAAGAAGUUUUGAGAUUUUAACGGACCAAUCCUGUCCCGGCCUGUUAAAAAUAUAACUUUAAAAAUAAAGUCAAAAUUAACCGACGGAGUCUAAACGAAAGUUGUAAAGUACGUCUCCACUUACGCGUGGAUAUAAGCGCUGCACGAAUCUUUCUUAGAAAGAUUCAGCGACGGAGUUCUGCCCCUUCAGAGCCCGACUCCUAGCGAAAAUCCCC